rnacentral:rRNA from 1 species
UACGUAGGGGGCAAGCGUUGUCCGGAAUUAUUGGGCGUAAAGCGCGUGUAGGCGGCUCGGUAAGUCUGCUGUGAAAGUCCAGGGCUCAACCCUGGAACGCCGGUGGAUACUGUCGAGCUCGAGUCCGGAAGAGGCGAGUGGAAUUCCUGGUGUAGCGGUGAAAUGCGCAGAUAUCAGGAGGAACACCAAUGGCGAAGGCAGCUCGCUGGGACGGUACUGACGCUGAGGUGCGAAAGCAUGGGGAGCAAACAGG